AUGUCGAUGGCACGGACCGACACCGGCCCCUACGGGGUAGUGCUUCCCCACUCUCACCCAAGGGCGUCAGAGAUGAUGUUUGUCCACGGUGGCAACGUGUUGGUCGGUUUCUUCGACACAACUGGUAAGCUGUUUCAGAAGAGACUAUGUGAGGGGGAUGUGUUCAUCUUUCCCCGUGGUCUGGUUCACUUCAUCAUGAACUAUGGUUUCCAUCUUGCGACAACGUUCUCCGUGCUCAGCAGUCAGAACCCUGGUGUGGCUGGCAUCACCCAUGCAAUGUUUGCGCCAGAUUCAGAUGUAGUUGAGGAGCUGAUGGCCAGAAUGAUGAAGUUCGGAGAGAUGGAAAUCCCUGACAACAAGACUACUGAUUUUCCAUGGACUUGCUGA
rnacentral:rRNA from 1 species